rnacentral:rRNA from 1 species
UACGUAGGGUGCGAGCGUUGUCCGGAAUUACUGGGCGUAAAGAGCUCGUAGGUGGUUUGUCGCGUUUGUUCGUGAAAACCGGGGGCUUAACCCUCGGCGUGCGGGCGAUACGGGCAGACUGGAGUACUGCAGGGGAGACUGGAAUUCCUGGUGUAGCGGUGAAAUGCGUAGAUAUCAGGAGGAACACCGGUGGUGUAAACGGCUUUCUGGACCAUAACUGACGCUGAGGUGCGAAAGCGUGGGGAGCAAACAGG